rnacentral:lncRNA from 1 species
GAUUUGCAAUUCAGUUAAGGGCAAAGGGCUACUGAGAAGAUUAACUAAGAUACUGUGACCAAAACAUCUGCUAUCCAUAUAAAAACAGCUACAGGGAGCAAGAGUGCGAUGCCUGCACCGGAGUGCGGAGAGCCGGAUGCUCAAAAUUCAGAGUGCCAGGAUUACAAGCCAACGCCACCACACAUACGAUAUUAAUUGUGUGCUUCAGUAGGAAAUCUACUCACUGCCUUGUUGAACCUGGGCCUUGUGCUAGUGUUUCCAGAGGUUUAACCAAGGAGAGAAGAACCACUCUGAAUAUGGGUGUCACCAUCCUAUCGGCUGCGGUCCUGGACUGAAUAAAGCCAAAAAAGGGGAAAGCCUAGGACCAAUGUUCACAUCUCUGCUUCCUGCCUGCAAAUGCUGCCGAUGUGACCAACUACGUCAUCUCCUGCUACCGCUACGUCAUCUCCUGCUACCGUGCCUUCCCACCUUAGACUGUGACCACCCUAGACCACCAGCCAAGAUAAACGUCCCCUCCCUUUAAGUUGCUUCUUGUCAGGUAUUUAGUCAACAGCGGUGAGAAAAGCAACUGAUGCAAUGGUGCGACACACCAGCCUGAAUAACCUUGGACUCCUGAUAGAUCUUGAUUCAUCUGUAAUCCCUGAGGCAUUCUGCAGCUAUACGAGCCAGGCAUGCAGCUUCAUCUCUGCAUCGCGGAGCAUAAGGUCUCUCCAUCGUGUAUAGACAACCUUUAUGGACAAGUGUCUGUCCACUUCCUAGUCAACACAGAAUGUUAGGUCUCAGGUAGUACAAAUAUGCAACAUGAGCUCUCAGCUGAGCUAUAGAAAGAUUUCUGGCAGUCAGAUAAGAACAAAUGUUCUUGAGGAACUCGUGAAAUGGGCUUUCUGUCCACCAAAAGGAGUCAAUUUCCUUGACCUACACACACACACACACACACACACACACACACACACACACACUAGCAUCCUGGCCCUUCUCUCCUUCCCUAAACUCCCAGGCCUGCUCCAAGUCUCCCCCAGCCACUAUCCUCCUUUUAAAUGAUUUUUAAUGAUUUUACACUCUGCCCUUGCUAGGCCACUUCUCUCACAGAUAGGCCUACCUACGUCCAGUCUGUUUCUUUUUCUCUCUGCUCUGGACUCUUCCGGAUACCUCUUACCCACAAUUCUCUCUCUUACCUUCACCCUUAAUGGAUCAGCCACUCAGACAGGCAGAUGUUUUAUUAUCUCCCCUAGCAUACAAAGACUCAGUAAAAGCUCUUUCCUUCAGUCUGAACUAUUGGCUUCCAGGGAGAGCCUGUGUCUCUG